rnacentral:rRNA from 1 species
GGCCAUUCUACCCUCAACGUGCCCGAUCUCGUCUGAUCUCGGAAGCUGAGCAGGGCUGGCCUGCUUGGUACUUGGAUGGGAGACAAGCAUCGAGCCAAAGUCAAACAACCU